GUUUGAUAAAGAAAAUAGGUUGUGAUAACUUAAAAAAUGUAAAAAGUUCAUUAGUCUCAAAUUUUCUGCGUCAUGUGUACAUUUUUUUUAUUUUAAGUUUAUAGUGCUCAACCGCUUUAAUUGAAUUUUGUCAUUGAACUCAGAAAGUUUAACUUGAUCCCGUUUGACGUCACACGCAUGUGCGUACAACGUACGUGCUUCAUCUUCUUCACCUGGGAGAGAGUUCGCCAUUUUCGUCUGCUUGCCUCGGAUGCGGGGUUUUUUGUAGAGAAAAGUUGAGAAAAUCGCCUAGAUAUAGCGAAAAGGAAGAUUUCACGGUGUGAGUUUCUGUGAAUACUUCUGAGACGACAUGCGUUGUAGCAUGCAGCAAUUUUACGAAGAUCAUCGGACAAAGUUUUACUCUGGUUUGACCACGUUGUCUGCUGUUAUAUCGAUUUUGGUUUUGGGCGCGUCAAUCUGGUUAAAGCUGAAGCAGCUGGCCAACAAACAGAGUUUUAAGUGCGAUCUGUGCUGAGUUUCAUAGAGUGACAAAUGUCAACCUAAAGAAUCGUUUCUUUGCUCAACUGGACCAAAAUACCCCCUGGCUUCAGAGCCUUUAUCGGAAAAUGCUUCUCGGACAGGAAAAGCAUCUGAAGUCCUGGAUCAGCUCUUCAGGAUUUAUGACCUCCAGGAUCAAGUUGAUGUCCAUGUUAGACGUGCUGCUGUACUCCGGGCUCUCCCUCCGUAUAUGCA